CGUUGAAACAUCAGUUUCCAUGCGAUCAAUGAAGUUAAGCAACGUCGAGCCCUGUUAGUACCUAGAUGGAUGACUGCUUGGGAAUACCAGGUGCU